AACGAACGCUGGCGGCAGGCUUAACACAUGCAAGUCGAACGCAUCCUUCGGGGUGAGUGGCAGACGGGUGAGUAACGCGUGGGAACGUGCCCUUCAGUUCGGGAUAACCCAGGGAAGCUUGGGCUAAUACCGGAUGCGUGCGAGAGCAGAAAGAUUUAUCGCUGAAGGAUCGGCCCGCGUCUGAUUAGCUAGUUGGUGGGGUAAUGGCCCACAAAGGCGACGAUCAGUAGCUGGUCUGAGAGGAUGAUCAGCCACAUUGGGACUGAGACACGGCCCAAACUCCUACGGGAGGCAGCAGUGGGGAAUAUUGGACAAUGGGCGCAAGCCUGAUCCAGCCAUGCCGCGUGAGUGAUGAAGGCCUUAGGGUUGUAAAGCUCUUUCGUCCGGGACGAUAAUGACGGUACCGGAAGAAGAAGCCCCGGCUAACUUCGUGCCAGCCGCCGCAGUAA
rnacentral:rRNA from 1 species